rnacentral:rRNA from 1 species
AGCCGCCUCCAAGAUGAGUCUUCUCUUCGGUAAGGGCCCAGGUAGACCACCUGGUCGAUAGGGCGCAGGUGCAAGCACGGCAACGUGCUCAGCCGAGCGCUACUAAUAGCCCGAGCUCUUCUUCACAA